GUUGAAGUAGCUCAAGUGGAUGAGACUUUAAUUAUUAAUUAAUCAAAAGAUUAUGAGUUCAAAUCCCAUCUUAAAUA
rnacentral:tRNA from 1 species